GUUGGAGAAGACCGCUCGCGACCAGGACCUCUUCCUUUUGUAUGUCUGUGGUAUCGUGUCUUUUGUGAGGACAGCAUACGGACCUGUAUAAAUAAAGGGACAUAAAGGUCCCUAUGUAGCCUAUGUGCUGACGGCUACACUACCUGGGAAGGUGUCCUGAAACUGAUGCUGCCCUGAUUGCCUGGCGCCGUUUAGUGAGCUCAUCGUGGAGGACGUGUCGCUCAUCGCUGGGUCUAUGGAUGCGAAGUACUGGUUCGCCGAGGGCUGCACGGGCAUGUGGAUCCCUGACUGACGAUUCGAGCUAACAAUGGACGUGAGAUCUGUCACAGGGCGAGAGAUAAAUAAUGUCCUGGCAGGCAUCCCAUGAGGCGGAGAAGAUUCGAGGAACAGUGCGCACUCUGUGUAAUGACGCCCAUGUGACCGAUGGCCCAGGUCACUUGGCAACCCCGCGGGCCAAAAAAAAACUCAAGUUAUAGGCUCUCUUUAAGUAUUGUCUGCGACUGUGUGCUAGAGUGAACCAUUUUGCAUGUAUUUAGCGCAACCCUUCACCAUCGAGGUAAAGCAGAGCCUCUAAGGGCCGAGGAGAUAGAUCGGUACCAAUGUCACACACUGUAAAAUUGUUGUAAUUACAAUCCGAUGUGGAAACAAUUGCGAGGGGUUAGCACCUGUACUUCCCAGAUUUGGCCUACUAGAGCUGAAUAACGUUCAAUAGGCCUAGAACAUUACACAGCCUUAUUUUAACUUCUGAAAAUGAUUGUUAUAGUCUACAUCAGCCAUAAUGUUCUCUACCUGAUUUAUGGCCGUUAACAAAACAAUUAAAUCAAGGUUAUGAUCGGGCGUGUUCUUGCAGAGCGACAUUUCACACUCCAAGUAUCAUCUUGAUGGAUUCCAGUUUUGUCAACGCUCCAGAGCUGUCCAAACAGACCGUGUUUUAUUACCUCUCCCUGAAAGUACAGCUGUCAAAAUUACGAAUGUAUAGGACUUGUCAUUAAACCAGAAACAUCGUCUUAGCAAUGCCAAAAUGAGACAAUAACAUACAUUGAACAGUCAUAAUGGUUAUUAUAUUUAAUUUCCGAAUCUUCAUCGCGAAUCUGGGUAGUAAUGUGGGAAUACUAUGCGUGAAGAUCUAUUUCAAUGCCUUGUAAUUGAGUUGAUUUGACAUAAAUCAAAAUGUACAGCAUCGAAUAUAUAAAGUAGCCUAACAAAAAUAUGAAUACUCUUAUUCAUUUUGAGAGCAAGACAAAUUCACAUUUUUGUUAUAGGCCCCAGGCCUAUAUAUUAUCCUAACGUUUUGUAAAUAUCAUAUCCAUCUUUGGGUGGCAAUAAUGAUUUCUCUAAUAAAUCCCUAUUCCUUUUC